GACUUUUGAUUUUCACUUUUCUUUGAGUAAUUUGUUAUUUUUUCUCUUUUUUUUCAAGUUUGUUGAUUUCCAACUCACUUCUUUUUCUUUUUUUUCUCUUCAAAUUUGUACUCAUAUUCAUUUGAUUUUAAAACAAAAAUAAUAUAAAGUGACUUAAAAAUGCAUUUAAUCCUUAAUUAAAAAUACUGAAUAAUAUUAUUAUUAAUUUAUUUAUUAAUUAAAAUAAUAUUGAUGAAUUAAUUAUUCUUGUUAACAUUGCCAACUCACUAAAAAUAAAUUUUAUUUAUGUUCUAAUCAUCACUUCCACGUUUGCAAAAUUGGAC
rnacentral:lncRNA from 1 species